AAUCUUGCGCAAUGGGCGAAAGCCUGACGCAGCAACGCCGCGUGAACGAUGAAGGNCUNNGGGUCNUNAAGUUCUGUCAGGGGNNNNNAAUAAAUGACGGUACCCCCGGAGGCAGCCCCGGCUAACUACGUGCCAGCAGCCGCGGUAAUACGUAGGGGGCGAGCGUUGUCCGGAAUUACUGGGCGUAAAGGGCGUGUAGGCGGCCGAUCAAGUCAGGUGUGAAAUUCCAGGGCUCAACCCUGGACGUGCACUUGAAACUGGUAGGCUUGAGUGCAGGAGAGGAAAGUGGAAUUCCCAGUGUAGCGGUGAAAUGCGUAGAUAUUGGGAGGAACACCAGUGGCGAAGGCGACUUUCUGGCCUGUAACUGACGCUGAGGCGCGAAAGCUAGGGGAGCAAAC
rnacentral:rRNA from 1 species